UUAUUAAUUUUUUUUUUCCUAUUUUCAUUUCUUUCAUCACUUGUUGAUUCCUAUUCUCAAAAAGUAGUUGUAUUUGUAUUUCUUUCUAUAAUAAAACUUUUUAAACAUUGGUUCUGUUUUGGGUCAGUGAGAAAGCCUUAUAUUGCGCAAAGGCAAGGGGUAGCAUGGCGUAUGAAACCAUCAGCCACAAUUACUUUACAAGCUGGGGGAAACUCAGGCUGAUCCCUGAAAUAUAUAUAUAUAUAUUUCCUUUCUUGCUAAUCCAGUACAAGAAAAUAAAUUCUGAAAACUCAACCAACAGAAGCCUCCUGCAAUCAGCGCCACACCUUCUGGUUUGCAGAUGAAUUUCUUCAGUGAACUUCGGUGUGCAAUAUAUGGGAUGCAAAUGCCAGCUCUGACACCUAAGAUCUAAAUCACAGAACUUGAAGCGUUUGUCUGGCUUUGGACUUUCUGAGUACUUUAGACUUUGUGAUCAAGACGGUUUAUUGUAUGUGUUCAAUAAACCUUGAUGUAUUCCACUAAUUAGGCAAUUUCUAGUUUAUUAGGCAUAAAAAAGUAUGGUUUUGUGCUUGGCACAUGCCGAGAAGAACACCAAGUUGUAUCAAUAUGUUGAGUGUGUACGUCUACAAUUGUAUGGUUUGAUUAGGUCCUAUUAUAGAGAAUCAAUUUAGAUUAACUUGGCUUACACUGAAAGAUUUUGAUUGUCUACGAUGAUUGUUUUAUCCAUAUGUUGCUUGCUUAAUAUCA